CAGCAGCAACAUGGUGGAGAUCUGCAGCUUCAUGCUGGUCAACUGGAAGACAACUGAUUAAGAUUAAAAGAUUAAGAUUAAAAUCCAUGUAUUCAUCCAAAACACAUGCACAGACAUGCAAAGGCACACUCAUGCAGAUGAAGAACUGCAGCACCUGAUGUCCUCAGCAGCAACAUGGUGGAGAUCUGAUUUGAUACACUUUAGAUAAGAACCCAGUGUUUUAUAUUUCUGCUUUGCCAUAAGAGACAGAACAUGGUCAUCACAGCUGUGUCCUUCAGGCUCGUCUGUCCCUAAUAAAAUGAUAGGAAACAUGAAAGUGAUCGUCAUUAUUGUAGAGGAAGAGUUACAUAUGAACAAAGUGUGUAAUCUUAUUUUCUGUGGAUAUUCAACUGUGUAUUUGAAUAUGCUUUUGGAUUAAAACGUGCACUACCA